AUUUUUACUUACGAAGUCUCUCGACCAAUUAUGAACCUAAAUCAAUUCUCUCGGCCAAAUUCCCAAAUCAUGGAAGUAGAAGUGUAGAACCCUAAUUUUUUCGACGAAGCCAAUCUCGAAAUUUAUUUGUAACCGGUGCAUUGCUUACUCUAGCUCUCCACUCCCUUCAUCUUUGACUUUAAACCUCGUCAUUGUUGCCAUCUGAAGUAGUUCGUUGUGACCUUCAUUGGCUAUUGAUAUUUGUCUCCUUUGAAGACCUUCCUGCAGUCGCUCUCCAAUUCAUAGGUCUGCACGCUCACGUUCAAGAUCAUUCUCACCUCGGAGGUAAAUUCGAAUAACUUUUCAAAAGAAUGACAUAGCGUUUUCAAUAACUUGCAUGUUCAGAAUUGUAUUCAUCUUUAUUCGCAGAUAUUGCCAAUGUCAGAAUUGAGGACCUUGAACUUAUAGCCAAAAAUUGCCCCAACUUGGUCUCUGUGAAAAUUACUAAUUGUGAGAUCUCACUUCACUUCACUGGGAAAAGCUUGACCUCAAGCUCAACAAUCUCACUUCACUUGAGGGGUUGAGAUCAUGUGUUAAUUUGAAGUGGCUAUCUGUUGUAGAAAACAAAUUAGAAAGCUUAGAAGGAGUUCAAGGACUUACUAAGCUCACAGCUGAUGAUAAUGAAGAUGGAAAAUUGUCGCAGUGCAAACUGUGAAGGCUACAGUGAAGCUCUUCAGAUGCUGCUGUGAGGAAACUUGAAUACAAUAUCAUAGGGUAUUUUGGUGUGCAAUUGGAGAUUCCAUGGCCUUGAUAUCUAUUUGAUCCUCGAUUCUAUAAAGAUCUAUAUUCUGUGAAAAGCAAAUACACAAAUUUUGGUGGUUAACCCGUUUGGAAACUGAAUUAUAUUCCAUGGCCUUGAUAUUUAUUUGCUGAUUAUAUUCUGUGACAAAUAAUAAGACAGAUUUUUAGCAUAUUCUGUU